UGUAGAUGGCACUACUUCAGUCAGAACAGAAAAUUCAAUGCAUUCCUAGCAAGUGUUAACUUUUUUUUUUUUUUUUUGAACAAUUGAGCCAUAAGAACAAUGGGACAAAUCUACAAAUACUUGCACAGGUUAGUAGUCUUUGCUCAAGAACUCACGCUAACAGGGAAGCCUUGCAAUAAUAAAGAUUCCUCAGGUUGCCCCUUCAGUCUGCCUUAGCUUCUCCCCUUGCUUCACUCCCUGCCAAUAUUUUGCAAUUCAGUGACAAUGAGAGUUAAUAGAAGGUGUGUCUGUGAUUCUAUAAAACAAUUUGCAUCAUCAUCUUUAGUGAUGAAAUUUUCACAGGGAAGGAGGAGCAGUGCAUUUUGCCCAAAUGAAGGUUGCACCGGCAAUGUAUCAAGAAGCCUGAAGCGCUUAAUUUUCACAGGGGAAAUCUGAUUAUAGCAGCCCAUAUUUGAGUACAGAAAUGUGUCAUGCAGAAACUACAGCACCAAUGCUGCUUCCAAGGACUAGAACACGUCAGAAAUUUUGCCUUUAAAUUUAUGUUCUUGCAAAUACAAGGGAGGAAAAGAAGCAUUUGAUAUAUUUACAGCCCUUAUACAGGGUAUGUUUGAUAUGGAUCAGAAGUACACCAAGAUUCACAUUUGUCUGAAGCAUAGACGACGGAAGUUACAGUCCAAGAGUUUGAUAUUUUAUUUCUGUGAAACAAACCCUUUAUUAUCACUAACCCUUGGUUUGUGCACUUGUGUCCUGUGUUGACACUCACUGUGAUGGGAAAGAAUGAAGCAGAAAAAUGAUGCAACUCAUUUAAAGAAGGCUUGGCAGUGCCAGACACAGAAACUAGAUCUGAUACCCAAGCCACUGCCUUAACUUUGCUGUCAUUGCCCUUUCAACUUCAUGCUAUGCAAUAAGCAUUCAAGCUGCGUACACAUACAAAGAAAAUCUUCACUUGCUUUUAAAAAAAAGAUGCCUAAACUAAUAGGUUCAUAGCUGGACACCAAGUGUGCCAAAUAUUCAGGACAUCUUUAUGCAUGAAAUUUUAUGACAGCAGUGCAUCGUUUGACUUUUUUUUUCCUUUUUUAAUAAGAACUUCUAUUUAGGUAUGCUAUGUAGAAGUAUUGCAGAAAAGAAAAAUGUUUUGUGAAAAGAAAAAUAAACUGCUCCUGUUUCAGUGGUGUGUGUAUCUAUCUGAGAUUGAUAUUUAUUUCUACUCAUUUACCAAUGUUUCAAAAAAAUAUAUGCUUGGACUAGACCCUACAAAAUAUGUGAAUUUGAACAUUGGAUCUCAAGCUUUUUCAUCAGUUCAUUGACUAUCAAUAGAACAUCCUAUGCCAUGUGGUAACCUUCCUUACCCUGCCCAAUGACACGAUCUCAUUCCCUGCUUCCACUAACUCAUAGUUAUGCUACCAAAUAGUCAUGCUAAAUCUGAAGUGCAAUUACUUUUGGAAGCCCCCAAAAAUAGGUGUGCAUUUUUGAAGGUGAACUCAAGGACAGGACUUUCAUUGUAGCUGGGCAACAAGAAAAUACAAUUACUAAAUGCAAUUCCAGCCACACCAUUCCUAAUG
ensembl:lncRNA